GAUGAACGCUGGCGGCGUGCCUAAUACAUGCAAGUCGAGCGAACAGACGAGGAGCUUGCUCCUUUGACGUUAGCGGCGGACGGGUGAGUAACACGUAGGUAACCUACCUAUAAGACUGGGAUAACUUCGGGAAACCGGAGCUAAUACCGGAUAAUAUUUCGAACCGCAUGGUUCGAUAGUGAAAGAUGGCUUUGCUAUCACUUAUAGAUGGACCUGCGCCGUAUUAGCUAGUUGGUAAGGUAACGGCUUACCAAGGCAACGAUACGUAGCCGACCUGAGAGGGUGAUCGGCCACACUGGAACUGAGACACGGUCCAGACUCCUACGGGAGGCAGCAGUAGGGAAUCUUCCGCAAUGGGCGCAAGCCUGACGGAGCAACGCCGCGUGAGUGAUGAAGGUCUUCGGAUCGUAAAACUCUGUUAUUAGGGAAGAACAAACGUGUAAGUGACUGUGCACGUCUUGACGGUACUUAAUCAGAAAGCCACGGCUAACUACGUGCCAGCCGCCGCCGUAA
rnacentral:rRNA from 1 species